GACGAACCGUGCGAACGUUAUUCGGAAUCACUGGGCUUAAAGAGCGCGUAGGCGGCGUCGUCAGUUGGAGGUGAAAUCCCAUCGGCUCAACCGUGGAACCGCCCCCAAUACUGCGAGGCUUGAGGGAGGUAGGGGCACGUGGAACUUCCGGUGGAGCGGUGAAAUGUGUUGAGAUCGGAAGGAACGCCAGUGGCGAAAGCGACGUGCUGGAUCUCAUCUGACGCUGAGGUGCGAAAGCUAGGGGAGCGAACGGG
rnacentral:misc_RNA from 1 species